rnacentral:rRNA from 1 species
UAAUACGUAGGGGGCAAGCGUUAUCCGGAAUUAUUGGGCGUAAAGAGUGCGUAGGUGGUUACCUAAGCGCAGGGUUUAAGGCAAUGGCUCAACCAUUGUUCGCCUUGCGAACUGGGCUACUUGAGUGCAGGAGAGGAAAGCGGAAUUCCUAGUGUAGCGGUGAAAUGCGUAGAUAUUAGGAGGAACACCAGCGGCGAAGGCGGCUUUCUGGACUGUAACUGACACUGAGGCACGAAAGCGUGGGGAGCAAACAGG